GAUCCGUCGGGUUCGCUGCACAUGCAUCUGGGCCAAGUCUAGGGUUAUGUUUCCCGGGAGCAGACUGUUCCCAAGACUCUGUUCCCUCAAUAACUGAGGUCUUUUGACUGUGAAUUUAUUUUCUCCGUUAUUGACGUGCGUGUGGUCUAAACAAAAGCCUCUGAAAUUCAGCAGUCCUCCCCCUUUCCUGUUCCCAUUUUCUUUUCCCAGAAACAAACAUUUCAGUUCUUUGAGCGGAUUCUUUGGUAUGUACCCCCCAUUUCUCUAAAAACCACACUUUUACAUUGCUUCUUGUGGAUAUUCAGGUGUGGGUGAGAGGAGUUAGCACCUCCAUCGGCACCUCCCGUCCCUCUGCUGUCCCGCGCAUGUCAGUCAGUGUCAGCAUCGAUGCUCCUCUGACCACAUAAGUGCUGCUGGCAGCUGACCCACUGAGUAUACUCCAGCAACCCGUUCUUGUUUCCUAGGUACGGUAAGUGACCUUUUAUCUCUGAGAUCUUGGUGAUGGUUUUCCUGAUAUCCUCUGAGGACAGAGGGGCUGGGCUGUGUGGCUGUCCCUGAACUUCCCUGUUCAGUGCCGUGUGUCCCUGAUCUAGAUACUUCUAACUCCACCUUCCUGGCACAGAGCCUCUGUGUGGGGGGGUGGGGGGGGAGGGGGUGCGGGCAGAGAGCCGACCAGCUGUUUCUUAAACAGACUUACAACCUGUGCUCCUGUUUUUAGAACCCACCUUCCCCCUCACUUCCACUGAUGCCCCAGCCCCCAGCCCCGGGACUCCCCAGCGGCAUAAUUCCAGUGUUUUCACGACAUUCUGCUACCAGUCCAUCCAGCAGCUCUGCAGUUUCCGAAAUCUUGUUGCUGACGCCCUCUUUUUGUUGCCUUUGUCCUCACGGGGUUACGCCUUAAAGGUCUCUCUGCUGUUGCUGCGAGGUUUCAGGAGUGUAAUCCGUUCCGUCUGCGUCUCUAAUGCACGGAGGCACUGCCUUUCCUUCUGCGAUGCCUCCACUCUUAGGACCCUCAGCUGCUACAUCUCCGUGACUUCCUCGUCCGUCGCUUCCAGCCCCGGUUGUCUUCUUUUCAGGACCGCUUCCUGGGUCCUCCACCGAUGGCAUCAACCAUCUCCCACCCACCCUGGCAGUUUACUUCAACUCUUUGACCCCGAAUCAACCAUUAUAUCUUAAAAGAAAUAAGUGGUACUGUAAGACAGUGAUGUCAAAACAAGGAGUUGGUUAUUCACAGACAGAGGUUUCCACAUCAGGUAGGACUUGGUGGAUGAGGCUAAGAAGUUGUUUUUAAAAACCUUGAAAUAGAUAAAGGACCCAAAUGUUCAUUUACUCUUUAAACCCAUUUUUGGAAACUUGGCAGUGGUAUUUUUACCUAUUUAAUACUAAAUAUGAAUACCGUUUCAUAAGUGUUUUUAGUUAGUAAUUCUUAGUGACUCCAGUUGUGUUCAUUAUUAAACACACGAUACUUAACACC